ACGCGAGUGUGAGCGAAUCUCAAAAAUAAACGUCUCAGUUCGGAUUGUAGUCUGCAACUCGACUACAUGAAGCUGGAAUCGCUAGUAAUCGCGGAUCAGAAUGCCGCGGUGAAUACGUUCCCGGGUCUUGUACACACCGCCCGUCACACCAUGGGAGUCAGUAACGCCCGAAGCCGGUGACCCAACCUAACAAGGAGGGAGCCGUCGAAGGCGGGACGGAUGACUGGGGUGAAGUCGUAACAAGGUAAC
rnacentral:rRNA from 1 species